rnacentral:tRNA from 1 species
GGGAUCUUAAGUUAAAAAAACUGUUGACCUUCAAAGUCAAAAAUAAUUGUAUAAACUUAUAUCUUU